AGAGUUUGAUCCUGGCUCAGGAUGAAUGCUGGCGGCAUGCCUAAUACAUGCAAGUCGAGCGGUAACAGGACUAGCUUGCUAGUUGCUGACGAGCGGCGGACGGCUGAGUAACGCAUGGGAACGCACCCCAAACUGAGGGAUAACGCACCGAAAGGUGUGCUAAUACCGCAUGUGAUCUUCGGAUUAAAGCUUUCGGGCGGUUUGGGAGCGGCCUGUGUACGAUUAGAUAGUUGGUGAGGUAAUGGCUCACCAAGUCGACGAUCGUUAGAUGGUUUGAGAGGAUGAUCAUCCAGACUGGGACUGAGACACGGCCCAGACUCCUACGGGAGGCAGCAGUAGGGAAUCUUUCACAAUGGGCGAAAGCCUGAUGGAGCAAUGCCGCGUGCAGGACGAAGGCCUUCGGGUUGUAAACUGCUUUUAUAAGCGAGGAAUAUGACGGUAACUUAUGAAUAAGGAUCGGCUAACUACGUGCC
rnacentral:rRNA from 1 species